rnacentral:tRNA from 1 species
GGUAAAAUGGCUGAGGGAAAGCAUUAGACUGUAAAUCUAAGGACAGGGGUUUGAGCCCCCUUUUUACCA